GCUAUCCUACGGGACGCAGCAGUGGGGGAUAUUGCACAAUGGGGGAAACCCUGAUGCAGCGACGCCGCGUGGGCGAAGAAGUAUUUCGGUAUGUAAAGCCCUAUCAGCAGGGAAGAAGAAAUGACGGUGCCUGAGUAAGAAGCACCGGCUAAAUACGUGCCAGCAGCCGCGGUAAUACGUAUGGUGCAAGCGUUAUCCGGAUUUACUGGGUGUAAAGGGAGCGCAGGCGGCACGGCAAGCCUGAUGUGAAAGCCCGCGGCCCAACCGCGGGACUGCAUUGGGAAAUACCGGGCUGGAGUGCCGGG
rnacentral:rRNA from 1 species